AUACAGAGGGUGCAAGCGUUAAUCGGAUUUACUGGGCGUAAAGCGCGCGUAGGUGGCUAAUUAAGUCAAAUGUGAAAUCCCCGAGCUUAACUUGGGAAUUGCAUUCGAUACUGGUUAGCUAGAGUAUGGGAGAGGAUGGUAGAAUUCCAGGUGUAGCGGUGAAAUGCGUAGAGAUCUGGAGGAAUACCAAUGGCGAAGGCAGCCAUCUGGCCUAAUACUGACACUGAGGUGCGAAAGCAUGGGGAGCAAACAGGAUUAGAUACCCUGGUAGUCCAUGCCGUAAACGAUGUCUACUAGCCGUUGGGGCCCUUGAGGCUUUAGUGGCGCAGCUAACGCGAUAAGUAGACCGCCUGGGGAGUACGGUCGCAAGACUAAAACUCAAAUGAAUUGGCGGGG
rnacentral:rRNA from 1 species